UACGUAGGGGGCGAGCGUUGUCCGGAAUCACUGGGCGUAAAGCGCACGUAGGCGGAUCUUUAAGUCAGGGGUGAAAUCCCAGAGCUCAACUCUGGAACUGCCUUUGAUACUGGGGAUCUCGAGUUCGGGAGAGGUGAGUGGAAUUCCGAGUGUAGAGGUGAAAUUCGUAGAUAUUCGGAGGAACACCAGUGGCGAAGGCGGCUCACUGGCUCGGUACUGACGCUGAGGUGCGAAAGCGUGGGGAGCAAACAGG
rnacentral:rRNA from 1 species